CCAGCUCUCUUUGCCAUAUGGCUUAGAUCAAGUGUAGUAUCUGUUCUUUUCAGUUUAAUCUCUGAAACGCCUCGAAACGGGGCUUAUCGUGAUUAUUCCCAUUUUUGGUUGCAGGACGAGAGCGCCUCUGCGUUUACGCAUGGUUCUUGUCCACUGUGUCCCUGGUAUUACACUGCGUCCAGGUGAUGCGAACCUCG
rfam:Metarhizium majus ARSEF 297 Scaffold_20, whole genome shotgun sequence.